rnacentral:rRNA from 1 species
AUGCCGCGUGAGUGAAGAAGGCCUUCGGGUUGUAAAGCUCUUUUGUUCGGGAAGAAAACGUGUGGUUUAAUACCCGGUGGGGAUGACGGUACCGUGCGAAUAAGCACCGGCUAACUACGUGCCAGCAGCCGCGGUAAUACGUAGGGUGCAAGCGUUAAUCGGAAUUACUGGGCGUAAAGCGUGCGCAGGCGGUUUGUUAAGACAGAUGUGAAAUCCCCGGGCUCAACCUGGGAACUGCAUUUGAGACUGCUGGGCUAGAGUGCGGCAGAGGGGGGUGGAAUUCCUGGUGUAGCAGUGAAAUGCGUAGAUAUGGGGAGGAACACCGAUGGCGAAGGCAGCCCCCUGGGCCUGUACUGACGCUCAUGCACGAAAGCGUGGGGAGCAAACAGGAUUAGAUACCCUGGUAGUCCACGCCCUAAACGAUGUCA